CACUGCCGAGAAAAGCCUCUAGAUAGAAAAUAGGUGCCCGUACCGCAAACCGACACAGGUAGUCAAGAUGAGAAUUCUAAGGUGAGCGAGCGAACUCUCGUUAAGGAACUCGGCAAAAUGACCCCGUAACUUCGGGAGAAGGGGUGCUCUUUAGGGUUAACGCCCAGAAGAGCCGCAGUGAAUAGGCCCAAGCGACUGUUUAUCAAAAACACAGGUCUCUGCUAAACCGUAAGGUGAUGUAUAGGGGCUGACGCCUGCCCGGUGCUGGAAGGUUAAGAGGAGUGGUUAGCUUCUGCGAAGCUACGAAUCGAAGCCCCAGUAAACGGCGGCCGUAACUAUAACGGUCCUAAGGUAGCGAAAUUCCUUGUCGGGUAAGUUCCGACCCGCACGAAAGGCGUAACGAUUUGGGCACUGUCUCAACGAGAGACUCGGUGAAAUCAUAGUACCUGUGAAGAUGCAGGUUACCCGCGACAGGACGGAAAGACCCCGUGGAGCUUUACUGUAGCCUGAUAUUGAAAUUCGGCACAGCUUGUACAGGAUAGG
rnacentral:rRNA from 1 species